rnacentral:rRNA from 1 species
CCUACGGGUGGCAGCAGUGGGGAAUAUUGGACAAUGGGCGAAAGCCUGAUCCAGCCAUGCCGCGUGUGUGAAGAAGGCCUUCGGGUUGUAAAGCACUUUCAGUGGGGAAGAAAGCCUUGGGGCUAAUACCCUCGAGGAAGGACAUCACCCACAGAAGAAGCACCGGCUAACUCCGUGCCAGCAGCCGCGGUAAUACGGAGGGUGCGAGCGUUAAUCGGAAUUACUGGGCGUAAAGCGCGCGUAGGCGGUCUGAUAAGCCGGUUGUGAAAGCCCCGGGCUCAACCUGGGAACGGCAUCCGGAACUGUCAGGCUAGAGUGCAGGAGAGGAAGGUAGAAUUCCCGGUGUAGCGGUGAAAUGCGUAGAGAUCGGGAGGAAUACCAGUGGCGAAGGCGGCCUUCUGGACUGACACUGACGCUGAGGUGCGAAAGCGUGGGUAGCAAACAGGAUUAGAUACCCGAGUAUC